AAACUGGUGCUGCAGCCACUGGUGUCAUCCACUGCUAAGCCCCUAAAAUGUCGGAUGACAUGCACAUGGGCAGGAACGAUUUCAUGGGAACAGAUGGGCGUCCAGUUGGUGUCGGCAACUUCUUGAAAAGUGUGAGCAUAAAUAAUCAGGAUCGUCUGGGCCACAGAAGACCCAGCCAUGAAACCUUUGAUUACAGGCAUGGGUUUGCCAGGGGCCCACCUUUCCCAGGAAUGGGUAUUAUUAUUCAAGGGCAGCCAGCUCCUCAGUUUGCUGGAGCACCAGUUUUAUGUAGGCCAUCUAUUCCUGAUGUGUCCCAUGCGCCUCCUAUACAGCGUUUGCCACCACCUGGCCCUAUAUUACAUCCUCCCCCUCCUAUUACACAUUCCCCUAUUCUACCUCCACCUCAUUCACACUUACCCAUGCCUCAUCAGGGUCCUCAUCCUCAUCUAUCCAAUUUGACCAUGCCACCAAGUAACCCAUAUUCAGUUCCACCUCCUACCGAGGUUAAAGCUCGUCCUCCUCUUUGUCAUGGUAUGCAAAAGGUAGAAUCCGCUAUGCAUCCUCCAUUACCCAGAGGUCCAAGACCAACACAGUCUAGACUCUGUGCACCACCACCACUCCCUGGCACACAAACAUCACGACCACCACCUCUUCCUCCCAAUAAUUUUACGGUACAACCCCCACUUCCUCCUCUACCUCCUCUGCCACCUUCACCAAAGGUUGAACCUUCAAAACCUCCUCCGCCAAAUGACCCACCUCCAUCUAGCCCUGUCAAGAAAUCCUCUUUGCCCUCUGCACCUCCAAAAUUUUCGAAAAGUGUAUCGGUUACCAAGUCAUCAAAUUCAACACAAUCAGGAGCUCCAAGCACCUCAAAACAUUCUGGAACCAAAAGAUUAUUUUCUGAUACUCAAGAUAUUGAACAAGCUAAACCCAUCCCAAGUAUUGUUUCAUCUCGUCCCUCCGUGAAGCCUGCUGCCGUCCCCUCUGCUAAUAACAGUAAUAAUAGGAUUCCUUGUGUUUCAGGGGCACCUAUUGUUGUCUCAUAUAGCAGUGUUCAAGCUUCCACACCUCCCCCACCUCCACUUCCUCCCUCAGAUACUGUUCAUCUACCUAUUUCUUCCCGUGUGUGUCAAGCAGCAGUCGAGGAGGAACCAUAUGAUCCCGAAGAUGCUACAUUUUCUCCAGCCUCAAGUCUUGGUUCUCCAUCAAGAGAAGAAAGUCCAGAAGACUCUCUUAUCAAUAAAUAUGUGAGGCAGCCAAAUAAGUUAAACUCUUCUGAUAGUUUCUCCAGUUCAUUGAAAACCCCAGAAAGAAUCAGAAAUGAAAACAAAAAGAAAAAAGUUUCUUUCUCUAAAGAUGUGUCAUUUUCUUCAAAAAUUAACAAGACUCCAACUGAUUCCCCAGCUAGACCAAAUUUAGAUACUAGAUUGAAGAUUAUGUUUGGGACAGUAGAGGAAGAUGCUUCUAAAAAGCAUAAGAAGUCUUUGACUCAGUUACUAUCACCAAACACAGUUUCGGAGAAAGAACAGGAAGAGCUUGAGAGACCACUGUCUCCUACCCCAUCUCCUUACUUGUCUAGACAUAUGUACCUUUAUUGGCAUAAGGAAACCCUCAAGGCAAGAAAGGCAUCUAAGUUGUCCAGUGUUGAUUUUGUAAAUUCUAAUACUAGCACUCAAAAUACUGAGACUCCUCUAAAUGGACAAAUUUUAUUGUCGAUUUCCCCACUCAAGGGAAUGCCACCACUUCCGAAAAACCUUCCCACAGUUCCUCCUCCAAACUACAGGAGUUCUUUAACAGAACCUUUGUUGCUAAAAGAGGGUAGUUUGAAAGCAGAGCUUAUUUUGAAAAGUAUUAAUCGUAUGCAUCCCUAUAAAAUUAUUGAUUCUAAGGGCAAUAUUGUGAAAAGUUCACUGGACUCUGAGUUAGAAUUAACGAGUGAGGCUAUGCCUAUGGAGACAAGUGAGGAAAAAAUAUCAGAUAUGUUUGACCUUGAAAGUUCCAGUUGUCAUGAAAAUGUAACAGUUAAUCUUGUAAUGGAAAAAAUUAUUGAAGAGCUCAAACUGGUUAUUCGAGAAGAGCUAACAAAAGAAAUCUUAGAUAAAAAGUUUAAAUUGUGCCUUGACAAGGAUAAAAAAUGUUAGGAUAAAGAUAGUAUUCCCACAUUAGUACAAACCAUUACAGAAAAGAAUCUGCUCCACAAUAUUUUAUAAAUAGUUUAGCUACAAUGCCCUUUCCUACAUGCUGAUUCUUCUAUUUGAUAAUGAUCAUAAUAAUUUUAUGCAUUACACAGAGGCUUGAUGUAAAUAUGAAAAUGUAUUGUGUAAGUAUGUGAACCAAGUCAAAAUUUUGAAGUGUUGGAGUCUCUCUCCUUUAUAAUAUCUGCACCCUGUAAACUGGAAAUGGAUUCAGAUUUUUCACUAUACUUUCAGGUAAUAGUAUUACUUCUCAGUGGUAAGGUUGCUCUGUUAUUUGCUGGAAAUUUCUUCAACAUAAUUUUCAUCCCAUCAUCUCGACAACACUGUUGUUGCUUCACUAUGCUGUGGAAAACUGUUCUGAUGCUUCUAAUCUAUUCCCAGCAAGAUUCUGAGCUGCGAUCUGUUGCUGUUCCUGCUGAAGCUCUUGCAGCUCCUCAGUGGUUAGCUCUUCAUUGUGGUCCUCCACCAGCUCUUCCACAUCCUCCAAACUCACAUGCAACAUGAGGUGUCAUGAGAAUUCAUACCCAGGUCAAGCAAGUGGCAUCACCACAUCUCUUUCCCUUGACUAUAAUGGCACAUAAGUAUUGAAAGAAAAAAGUUGGCACCAAAAAUACCCAGGUUUGAGUGUAUAUGACAUUACAUUUAACCCUUAAGCGGUCCAAACGUAUAUAUAUAUUCUCUCGUGUAGGACCCCAAACGUAUAUGUACGUUUCAUUUGUCAUUCAUUCAACAUUGGCACGAUAGGCCUGAGUUGCCUAGACAUGAGAGAAUGGGUGUGCAUACUCAGUGUGUGCCAUAUGAAAAAAAUUGGAGAUUCCUGGGUACCACAUGCACUUUUUCCCUAUAAAAAAAAUUUUUUCUCAAAAUAUUCGGGGCACUGCGCAGGUGAACGUAUAUAUACGUUUGGACCGUUUAAGGGUUAACCAGUUUUUAACACCAGUUUAUUUGUAUUAAUUUAAAAAAAAGAGAACAUUUAUUGGUUUAUUUUAGGCAUUUGUGAAAAUAUUUUCCCAAGAUGUCUGACUAAAACAGUGGUUUUUCAAUAUUUUUCACUCCAUUACCUCCUUGAACAAUCCUCAGAAUCCCCUUGAACCCCCUUCAGGGUUUUCCCUCAAUGUACAUUUAUUUAAAUGUACACAUGCAUCUAUAUUAAACACAAACUGAUGAUAACACACCAGUUUAGCACUGAAAAAUGACAGAAUUAUAGUUAUAUGUAAAGAAAGGGGAUGCACAAUAAUAAUAAUUAACAAUGAUAUCUAUUAAUAGGAAAAUAAUGUAAAUGUACAGAUAUUUCACACACAAAGAAAUGAUUGUUGAGCAAAAUAGUUACACCGGUUUUGGAGUAUUUGUGCUUGAGUCAUGUGCAGUAUAUACCUCAGAGACACCAUGUUUCUCUGAUGAUAUCUCAUGGCACAUUGAGAUCAUUCUGUGUAAAUAUCAUUUAGAAAGUGAUGAGGAAUGCAAUUGUGUGGGACACGAGAAUUCAGCAACUCAGCCCAGUGUGCAGACGGAAACUGAACCCAUGUCACACAGGAACUGAAUCCAUGAAAUCUGAGCUUAUCACUUAAAAGCAACUAGCACCAUAGUACAUGAAUUUUAAAAUGGUAUUGGCAUUACAUCUCAAAAAUGACAAGAAAGAAGGGAAAUUCUUUCCUGCUAAAUCAAGAUGAAUAAUAAAAGUUUUAUUCAUUUUAGAUUUCCUUGACUUUCUGAAACAUUUAUAACUUAUUAUAGCCAGCCAUGUGAUACCCAUUCCCCUCCAGCCUAAGAAUCACUUGACUUAAACAACUCAUGAAAAUAGGAAGUAUUAGUAGGGAAAGGAAGAGCAGACUUGCAUGUAUGCUUCCCUUCAGACUGUACACACUAAUUGCCACCUGAAGUGGCAAGAUGGAUGGGCAUAGGACUGAGAGGUGAUAACAAUGGGCAAGUGAUCACAAUCAUAAAGAUAAUUUUCGAUUGUUAAGCCAAAGUCCAGAGCAUUGGGAAAUAGGCAAAUGGAGCCCUAAGUACUGAAAUGAGUAUAAAGUCAAAGCCCUCAUUCUUAAGACAUUUCAAGGCAAAUGGGUGGCAAAAUUCUCAAAGUUGCAAUGAGAUCAGCCCUAGAGGAAAUGAUUGCAACUGAAAUUCCAUAACAGCAGGAGUGGUUCAGGUAAUGAUGAGGCUUAAGAUCUGCAGAUCUCUUAAAACAAAGAGCAAUGAGGAGAGAGGUAUUAAGGAACAUUAUAUAGGCUGCCGUAUAGUGUAGUGACAUCUGAACAUAAAAUCUAUUAAGCAGAAUAUCGGUGUACACACAACGCAAACUUCCAUUGUGUGAGUCACUGGGAAACAAAAUUUAAGAGAGCAUAGAUAAAGACUGGAAGAUGAAUUGUAUGAUAAUGUUUAGUUUCUUAGAGACCAACAUUUACAGACAAUAUAAGGUUAAUCAGCAAAUAGAGUGCUCUUCAAUUAUCCCUGUAUUUUCUUUAUAUUCCUCUAUGUGAUUGAUGUGAAAAGUUUAAGUAAAUGUAAACAGAAGAAGCAUGGAAACUCAAGACAUCAGAAGGUGACAGCAAAGCACAGGAUGCAUCAAGACAUCCAGGUGAUGAAGAAGAAAAGAGAGAGAGAGAGAGAGAUGAAAGUACAGGAGGUGCAGAUAGUGACAAGGUAAGAAAGGGGGAAAAACAUUUGAGAAGGUAAGUGGAAAGAAGUAGUAGAAGUCCCAGUGUCUUUGAUGGUGUCUCACAAAUCAACAGCUGGGUAUUUAGAGGCAGGAAGAGAAGGCUUCCCAUGAAUUUAAGAGGGAGUUGAGAUAGUGGCUUCAAAACAAGAAGUUAUGUUAAGUGUCUCCACUUCUGAAAUCAAAGCCCAUAUACAAAUUAAAUUACAUAUUAAAAUUAGUAUUUAUUUCCAGAAAGUAUAGUACUGUACAUAGUUGUUGUAAGAAUUGGUGGCAUGUUUUGAGUGGAAAGCUCCUGGUUAUGAAGAGCAAUUCAGGUAGUCUUCAACUUGCUUAAUAUUACUAGACAGUGUGUAAUUGAAUAAAGAGUAUUUUAACAUUUUAUAUAACAUCUUUGUAUAACAUUUGUAAUAUUUAAUGCAGA